GGAGUUGUGCCUGAACAAAGGGCCACUUUGAUAGAGUGAAUUAUGAGGGUUAAAAUCCCUCCAACUCCU
rnacentral:tRNA from 1 species